rnacentral:rRNA from 1 species
GGUUAAGCGACUAAGCGUACACGGUGGAUGCCCUGGCAGUCAGAGGCGAUGAAGGACGUGCUAAUCUGCGAUAAGCGUCGGUAAGGUGAUAUGAACCGUUAUAACCGGCGAUUUCCGAAUGGGGAAACCCAGUGUGUUUCGACACACUAUCAUUAACUGAAUCCAUAGGUUAAUGAGGCGAACCGGGGGAACUGAAACAUCUAAGUACCCCGAGGAAAAGAAAUCAACCGAGAUUCCCCCAGUAGCGGCGAGCGAACGGGGAGCAGCCCAGAGCCUGAAUCAGUGUGUGUGUUAGUGGAAGCGUCUGGAAAGGCGCGCGAUACAGGGUGACAGCCCCGUACACAAAAAUGCACAUGCUGUGAGCUCGAUGAGUAGGGCGGGACACGUGGUAUCCUGUCUGAAUAUGGGGGGACCAUCCUCCAAGGCUAAAUACUCCUGACUGACCGAUAGUGAACCAGUACCGUGAGGGAAAGGCGAAAAGAACCCCGGCGAGGGGAGUGAAAAAGAACCUGAAACCGUGUACGUACAAGCAGUGGGAGCACGCUUAGGCGUGUGACUGCGUACCUUUUGU